rnacentral:rRNA from 1 species
CCUACGGGAGGCAGCAGUGGGGAAUCUUGCGCAAUGGGCGAAAGCCUGACGCAGCCAUGCCGCGUGAAUGAUGAAGGUCUUAGGAUUGUAAAAUUCUUUCACCGGGGACGAUAAUGACGGUACCCGGAGAAGAAGCCCCGGCUAACUUCGUGCCAGCAGCCGCGGUAAUACGAAGGGGGCUAGCGUUGCUCGGAAUUACUGGGCGUAAAGGGAGCGUAGGCGGAUAGUUUAGUCAGAGGUGAAAGCCCAGGGCUCAACCUUGGAAUUGCCUUUGAUACUGGCUAUCUUGAGUGUGGGAGAGGUAUGUGGAACUCCGAGUGUAGAGGUGAAAUUCGUAGAUAUUCGGAAGAACACCAGUGGCGAAGGCGACAUACUGGCCCAUUACUGACGCUGAGGCUCGAAAGCGUGGGGAGCAAACAGGAUUAGAUACCCUGGUAGUCCACGCUGUAAACGAUGAGUGCUAGUUGUCGGCAUGCAUGCAUGUCGGUGACGCAGCUAACGACAUUAAGUACACCUCCCGCCCGUCGGGGUAGGGUACGGGUCGGCGAAGAAUUAAAACCUUAACCGAAAGGAAAGUUAGUACGGCGUGAGACGUGCCCGAACGGACGACCGACCGAGGGGAGGUUAGGG